ACCACGCGUUGUCUGUGUGGUUUACAAGUUUCUUGGCGAUAUGGGGGAAAAGUUCCUCACAUACCAACGGAAAAUGGGCGUCAUAUACAUGCAGUCACACAGGGGUUCCAAGACCCACCGGCGUAAAAUCAAGUCAAAGGCUGCUGUCUCAUAAUAUGGCGAAGACGAGUCACCUGAAGGCCUAACUCGCCAUAGAAGACUGAAAGAAUUGUCCUGCAGGAUGCUGUGUCCUGCAAUCCUGUGUACUGUGCUACAGACGCAUGUGGAGGUCAACCCAAAAUGGGCACAGUCUCACCGCAGAAGAGUGAAAGAGGAUCCUGGCAGGGAGACGGUAGUGUCCUGCAGAAUGGUGAUGGGCCAAUCUUACAAGAGACCACAGAAAACUGAUAUAGUGAACUAUAGAAACAACAGUGCCUGCUGCAGUAUAAUGAGGACACCCUGAGCAGAGAGCUCCAAUAGACCCAGGUCCAGUGUCUUGGCAGGGUGAAAUGGCACUGAUAUGGUGUCCUGCAGGAUGCUGUGUCCUGCAAUCCUGUGUGCUGUGCUACAGACGCGUGUGGAGGUCAACCCAAAAUGGGCACAGUCUCACCACAGAAGAGUGAAAGAGGCUUUAAAACUUAAGGCCACCGCUAUGGAGGGAGCGGCUGCAACCGCCACCAGCGCAGCAGCUGCCCAACAAGCUCGACCCUCCGAUUCCUCCACCUCCUCUUCAAGUGACUCGGAGCCAGAGAGGAAGAGAAAGAAGAGGAACAAGAGAGACAGGAAAAAGAGAGAGAAGAAGAGGAAGAAGGACAAGCACAGACAGACAGAAGGAGAGAACUUGCGAACACUUGCACCCUAUUGCGGAGCUCGCCUUCAGUAUCACCGCGGAAGGGCCUCUGCUACAUGGCGAAGAAAAAAAUAGGUCUUUGGCAUUUUAGGGAUAAGAAACGAGCGGAGGUGUCCCAUCCUGUGGCUGGUGAGGAGAAGAGGACGGGAGAAUCUUAUCCCAAUUGUGGUCAAGCAUGUGCGUCCAGGAGCCACCCUGAUCAGUGAUGAGUGGCGAGCAUACAGAGGCGCAUUAGCUGCCAUUGGCUACACUCACUUCACUGUUAACCAUUCAAGAUGGUUUGUUGAUCCAAACAGUGGGGCCCAUACACAGCACCUUGAGAGGGGUUACUGCCACACUUAUUGUGUGUGUGUGUGUGUGUGUGUGUGUGUG